AAAGCCCAGUUGUCACCAUACACUGGAGGAAAUCUUUGGCAGCAUUUCAAUGCUUUACUGUGCCAAAAACGUGCCUUUGGAAGACAGAAAUAAUUAGAAGUGUGGGGAUUCAUUGUGAGAUGCCUGCCACAGGUGUAAUGUGUAUUCUGGCUCAGAGGGAUUCAGCCUCUUAAUUUCCAAUGUGGAAAGUGGAGACGGCAUGCGGAAGAUGUGCUGGGAAGCUGAAAAGAACAUUCCAGCCACCUGGCACACUUGGUAUAAAAGAUUGAUGAGAUACAUGAAGAUACAUAAGUUAAACCCAGGAGAAAGGCAUUCACUGCUGGUGCAAAUGAAGGACAACGUGGGACCCAACUAUCUGAGCCGGGCCUCCUUGGGCAGAGCCCCGCUGUCCCUAGGUGAGUGAGGGGUUCAGGCCUUCGACAGAAGAUGCUGUGUUGAACACCGAGGGCCCUGGUGGGUUAAGAACCUCAGUCACCGUUGCGAAGAAGCUUCUGCGCUGACAGCUGUGCCCGCAUGGCCACAUCAGGCUCCGUGAUGUUCCCAGUGUUUUGAUGCCAUUUUCCUGAACUGCCUUUAUAAUGGAUGAUGCAUCUUUACAUGCCCAGUGUGAGUUACUCAGAUCCAAAGCCAUUCUGGAAACAGUCUGUCUGACAGCCUUUUUAUUGGCAAAGAAGCUAUUUAAAUGAGAAACCUGUGCAAGAGAUGAACUAGCUGCCCCAUGCGAUGGCAAACGGAAGCUGAUGAAUUCUGCUUGGGCAAACAGAAGCCAACAGGUCUUAAAAGAGCAACAAAUGUAUUCUUGCAUGCCGCUGGUAAACACAGUGUUUGGACCCAGCUCUGUCUGUGCCACUGCUGCAUAUUUCUGAUGGGCUCUCUGCUGAAGCGUGAUGGAGUUCGAAGGCGCGGAGGAAAAGACGCUCUGAUUUGUGCUGGAUGGCCCAAAGAGAGACCCGCCAGGACUGCUCACCCGUUCCUGCAGCUUUCUUCUCUUAUGCUCAGAUCCAACUUGCUACAGAUUUCUCAAAGGCAGAAGUCUCACUGAAAUUAAGAUGAGUUUAAAUUAUCUUCAUGUCUACUAAAGAGUCCUGCAUUUAAAAUAUUAUAAUAUUUAUAGCAAGAUUUUAUUGAAAAUGCAGGAAAAAAAGCUGCUUUCAUCUUUAUCUUGUUGUGUAUUAUUGAUGAGGCAAGCGUACAGCACUAGGGCAGUUCCUGGAGGCUGAGCUCACGCUCAUCACAAGGGCACGGCUCCUGCACAGGGCCUGACAAAUGGCACUGCUCACUUCUGUUUGACAUUCAAUUCCUUCAGUUGCUAAAGUGAUUUCUGACAUACCUCAGCUCCUGGCAUUCCCAGAGCUGGUUUGGAUUACAGGCCCCCAGAAACAGGUGUACAGAUGCACUCAUCUCUCAUAAAUCUUGCUUGUUUGGGGUAUUUCUGGGGACUCUUCACUCUGGCAUUGCUGAAGGUGGACUCUCUCAUGCUUUGCCUAUUAUCUUUUUAUUUUACUUUCUUCCUAGUUUUUUUUUUCCUAAUAGAAACUUUAGGUAGCUUAUCCUUUACCAUAGAGAGUAGAAUUUCUCUCUUCUGCUAUCCUCUGGACUGCACCACUCUUCACUCCCUUAUUCUUGGAGUUAGAUUACAAAAUGCAAAUAUGCCAGACAGGAACUUUCCUAUUCUCCGAGACCUUCUCUGCCUCUAGGUCCAUUGUAUUCCUUAAAUAGCACAGCUUUUCCUGCAUGAGCAGGUUUUUCUGAAAUUAAGAGCCUUUUUGAGAGUGCUGCAACACUUUAUUAAUCAUAUAUCAUAAGGAGUAUUUAUCGUACACACAGCUUAGCAAACUCAUUUUUCAGCUUGCUGUUGGCUUUUCCUAAAGCCCGCACAUGGUAUGUCGGUAGUGAGGCCGUGGGUCCACUAGUGGGGUUUGCUCUCAGUUACUGCCUCACUCUUCCUCUUCCCCCUUUAAUCAGCUUUAGGAUUAGGAGUAUUACAAGGCAGCAACAGAGUAUGUCUUGUCUGUCUGGACUUUUUUUUUACUGAAAAUGGUAAAACUGUUUUUCUAAAGAAAAGAAAAAGGUGUGCAAGUACACCAAAUGCAUGCAUUCCUUUUGCAGACGCAUACUAUCUAGUGAAUAUCUGCCUUAUAAAUACAUAGUAACAAUCAGUUUUCAGAUUUAACUUACACAGUAAGUAACAGAAAAUGAAGCUCUUCCUCAUUAUUGGCCUCGUGCCUAUAUUUGUGUUAUCCAGUUGGCUGUAGUUAACCAUAGUCGUAGGUUAGAUGCUGCCCCAGAAAUGAGACACAUACAAUAUACAAAAUUUCUAUGGGAUCGAAGAGUUUGUAUGCUAAAAUUUCUCCUCUACAGCCUGAACUCUUUAUUCAAUCUACAGCUAGGAUAGGAAGUUUUAUCAUUUGGGAUUCCCUGAGGAUGCAGUCUGGGGAGUCUAACCCGUAGAAGAUGGAGCAGACAGAAGGCAGCCGAACUGUGAUUUCCAUGAGGCAUUUUGGAGUCUAAAUAUUUCCCUUUUCAGGCUGUAGAUCUUACAAUAAAAAAGAAAGUAUGUUUUGCAGAAACUCUUUCUAUGGUAAAACAGUAUUCACUUGAAAAUCCAAUUCGUCAUUGAAAGAAUCUUGACAUAAAAAGUUUUAAUUAGUCUUGUGAGGAAUUUUGCAGGAGAUUGUUCACUAAGUCCUGGGCCAGCAAAGUCAUUUGGGUCUUUCAUUUGACUUGAGUGGGAGUUCAAGCAAAUCCUCUGUAACAAAAAUAGCUGGAAUCAAUACUUGGACUUCAUCUCACAGAAUGGAAAGUGUGAUAAUGAGUUAACUGCUAUUUUGGCUUCUGAUAUGCUCUCUACAUUACCAGAACUGAUGAAGCAUUUUAUGGGAGAAGAGAGAAAAAAAACAACAAAUUAGGGAGUAUUCCCCUAGGGUGAUGAGUACAUGCAGUGUGAUAAAAUACUAUUAUCAAUCUCAGCUGGAGGCAAAUAAUGGAUUCACAGUAGAAAAAAACAUGCAAAGAUACCCCAGCCACUUGGAAAAAAUGUCCUAAACAUAAAAGCAAAAAGUUACAAAUGUUACAUAAGGGCUUGUGUCUAAUGGCCCAAAAUAUGGCCUACUAUUGAACAGUUUUGCAUGCAAUUACUUUACUAUAUUAAAAAAAGCAAUUAAAAUGAAAAUAUUUACAGUAUUUAACAGAUUGCUUAUUUACAUGCAUGUAAUUGUAUUUUGCUUCCCUAGAUGCUCUCAGCUGGCUGUAAUGUUUUCCAUUUUCCAUACGUAUUGCUGUCCCGUAGCUGUUUGCUGUUACCCAUGGGUGCGCGGGGAGAGGGAUUCCUGCACCGCCUUGCGUGGAGCAUCACCACGGUCCUGCCGAGCGCGAGGUCCCAGCUCGCUUUAUUGGCACAAAGGGAACGAAACUGCCUCCUGCCUGGUAAUUCAGCACACCAGGAAUAAGUCUCCUAUCAGAAUGAACAUUCACCUCAUGAGUACCACAAGCCUCUGGAGCCAAAGCCAUUUCGCUGUGGUUAUACCCAAGCACGUACAACCAGGAGAGUGGGGAUGUGCUGGAGAUGCAUUACGUACAAACCGGCUGUGUUUAUUUCUGGAGAGCAGGCGACUGCAGGAAGACUGGCCAUAAGAUGAGGUUUCUGGGAUGCUGUGAUAGUUUUUGGCUGAGCAUGUAUAAUUAAUUUAAUCUUAAAUCAAUUUACAAUAUAAAUAAUGAAGCACCUGUUAAUGGGCUUUUGGCUGGUCAAGUGUCAAGCCAGAUUGCACAACACAGAAAGAAUCAAGAGGAACAACUUGCCUGGUUACAUAACUUUUUGUAGAACAUAAAUAAAUUAUUCCCUCUUACUGGCAACUGUUUUAUACUGUUCUAAGAUUUCUGAAGUUAACUUCCUUGUAAUUUAACAUAUGCCAGCAGUUUAAAAGCAGUCUCAUCCGCUUAAGAAAAAGCACCUAAUUUAUGCACUGCUUUUAACUUUUAAUAAAAGAGCAUGCUUGUGAACUCUGAAAAAGAGAAAUAGUUGAGAAUUAAAUUUAUGUUUUCUACCAACUUUGGAGAUUAACAGCUACUAAGAGAAGGCUAGCAGGAGUUAACUGCGUCUGCAAAACGCUGAGAGUCCUGCAGUACUGCUUGGAGCUUUUUAUGUAAUUGUAUGAACUGUUUUCCCUUAUAAAGGCACUGGAUAAGCUCUUUCUUCACUCUCAUUAAAAUAUCACCACGUAUUUUCAUCUGAAUUUCCCAUACUGCCUGGGAAUUUUGAUGCAUUUCUGCUCUGGAAUGAGGCUACUAAUAAUACUGCUAUGUGCUCUGGCUGUUGUGCCUCUGCACUGAAUUAUGUAUUUCCUAAUUGCUGAGACAAUGUGGAGAGUUUUAGCACUGUUGCAUCCAUUAAAAUCAACCACGACUAUACUGGUAAAGCUCUCCAUAAUACUUUCAAAAUUGUAAUUUGCUCAUGAGUCUUGCUAACAAGUUUUCUCUAGCCCAAGAAUAUGAAUGAAACCAAGAACAUCUGUUCAGCAAAUAGAUUUAUCUCCUUUAUUCCCCUUCUCUGCCUUUAUUUCCGUGAUGUACUCAUCACCAUGUUCCACCUUUGAAACAGACUGAGGACUUCACUAGGAGAAAAAGCUGGCAAAUUUAGGGACUGCGAUUUUUUGCUAGCCAAACCGCUGGUGGCAUGCGCUUUGUGACUCCAGCCUGUUAGCCCCCAACCAAGGUUCUCACGUGACAGCCCACAGGAGGAGCGGCCAGGCUGAAAUAAACCUCAUGUUUUGAUCUCCAGAAUGGUGUUACAACCUGCCCAGGCUUAGGAGGUUUGGUGCAGUUUCUCACAUGCAAGGAGGGGUCUCGGAGAACACCUCUGCCAACCUUUUUAUUGGAAGAGCUACAGCUCUAGGAGAUAAAGGAUUUCACAGGCCCCAAGCAGCCUGUGCCGGAGACCAGAACUGGCCUGCAGACCAGUUCUGAAAAGCAAUAUUCAGCUAUUUCAGUGCUUACCUUUCAUGUAGAUUUGUGCUUGAGUUUUAAAGGGUGUGGACUAGUUCAGCAUUAAUUGGACUAGCCAGAGAGCACAAGUGCUGGAUGCUGUGGUGUCUUUGGGCUGCGCCUGUGGUACUUCCAGGCAGGCAGGCAUUUUUUUUGUUUCAAUGUACAUCUGAUGCAGCCUGCUCUUGCAUUAACUGUAUAGCGCAUCCUAAGUGAGAUUUUCAAAGCUAAAGGUUUCUCUACCCAGUUCCCACUGGAAAAUUCCUUCCUUUCUGCACUGUGGUUGGCAUCUUGGCUGCAUUCAAAGCGAUAGUUACCAUUGCCAUUUACAGAUUUCCCUAAAUCUAACACAGAAAAAAUUGUUUUUGAUUCCUCCUCAGAAAGAAGCUGCUUCUGUUAAAUGUAAUGCUAUUAAAACAAACAAACAAAGCGCAAAAAAUUCCUAUGUUAUUUCACAACAGGGAAUAUUGUCUUCUGCAUUAUUAAAAUUCCAAUUCAGUGGGUUUUUUUAAGCAAAUACAGUAUUUUUCUAAUGAUAGAAUUUACAACAGGACUAAACAAGGCUGUCCAGAAAGUAAGUUUACCUCUGAGUAUCCACAAACAGCUCAGUUAAAUAGUGCUGCUACUGACUUUUCCUUCUCAUUUCUAAAUACAGGCAAGCAUCUUAUAAUGAAUGUCUCUGUGCCCAGUCAUCGCAUAGUUGCAGCAUCAGGAAAAGAAUAGGGAGCUUUUACCAUUUUCCUGGAUGGCUGAGAAGCAAUUUCAAGCAACAGGGAAGUUCUGACCUGGUAGCGUUCAUCACUUUGUUUCUAGUAGAGAAAUUAGUCAUGAUGUUAAAGAGAUUGGACUGCACCAUAUAAAUGGUCAAGUUUCAGGAUGCCUCUCUGAAUCAAACUCAUUAUUGACAACUGAUGGGGAGAGAUGGGACCCACCUCACUAAGCGG